GCUCUGCCACUGCUCGAGGUUCCGUUCGCAAAACAUCGUCUGGCAGAGGCGGGGGACCCACUUUUGGUCAUCUUCACGGAUGGCCUUGGGGUUAAGUCGCACAACUUCCGAGAGGGAGAAGUGUGGCCGGAUGACUCCCAUCCGAAUCCGACAGCUUACCUCGCGGGCAUAGGGAGAGGCCUC
rfam:Arthrobacter sp. SRS-W-1-2016 contig35199, whole genome shotgun sequence.